rnacentral:rRNA from 1 species
GCCGCGACCGAUCAGGUUGUUGGUGAGGUAAUGGCUCACCAAGCCUUUUACCGGUGCGGGCCGUGAGAGCGGGAGCCCGGAGAUGGGCACUGAGACAAGGGCCCAGGCCCUACGGGGCGCAGCAGUCGCGAAAACUUUGCAAUAAGCGAAAGCUUGACAGGGCUAUCCCGAGUGCCAUCCGCUGAGGAAGGCUUUUACCCAGUCUAGAACGCUGGGGGAAUAAGGAGAGGGCAAGUCUGGUGUCGGCCGCCGCGGUAAUACCAGCUCUCCGAGUGGUGUGGAUGUUUAUUGGGCCUAAAGCAUCCGUAGCUGACUAGGUUAGUCCCUUGUUAAAUCCACCGAAUUAAUCGUUGGAUUGCGGGGGAUACUGCCUGGCUAGGGGACGAGAGAGGCAGACGGUAUUUCCGGGGUAGGGGUGAAAUCCUAUAAUCCCGGGAAGACCACCAGUGGCGAAGGCUGUCUGCUAGAACGCGCCCGACGGUGAGGGAUGAAAGCUGGGGGAGCGAACCGGAUUAGAUACCCGGGUAGUCCCAGCUGUAAACGAUGCAGACUAGGUGUUUGGACGGCCACGUGCCGUUCUAGUGCCGCAGGGAAGCUGUUAAGUCUGCCGCCUGGGGAGUACGAUCGCAAGAUUGAAACUUAAAGGAAUUGGCGGGGGAGCAC